rnacentral:rRNA from 1 species
UUCCGGUUGAUCCUGCCGGAGGCCACUGCUAUUGGGAUCCGACUAAGCCAUGCGAGUCGAGAGGGUUCGGCCCUCGGCAGACUGCUCAGUAACACGUGGAUAAUCUACCCUUAGGUGGAGGAUACUCUCGGGAAACUGAGAAUAAUACUCCAUAGGUCUAGGAUGCUGGAAUGCACCUAGGUUGAAAGUUCCGGCGCCUAAGGACGAGUCUGCGGACUAUCAGGUAGUAGUCAGGGUAAAGACCUGACUAGCCUACGACGGAUACGGGUUGUGAGAGCAAUAGCCCGGAGACGAUAUCUGAGACACGAUAUCGGGCCCUACGGGGCGCAGCAGGCGCGAAAUCUUCACAAUGUGCGAAAGCACGAUGAGGGGAUCCCAAGUGUUGGUUCGUAAGAGUCAUCUGUUUCUUUGUCUAAAAAACAGAGAGAGUAAGAGCUGGGUAAGACGGGUGCCAGCCGCCGCGGUAAUACCUGCAGCUCAAGUGGUGGCCGCUAUUAUUGGGCCUAAAACGUCCGUAGCCGGUUUAGUAAAUGCCUGGGUAAAUUGUGUAGCUCAACUAUACGAAUACCGGGUAGACUGCUAAACUUGGAACCGGGAGAGGCUAGAGGUACUCCUAGGGUAGAGGUGAAAUUCUGUAAUCCUAGGGGGACCACCAGUGGCGAAGGCGUCUAGCCAGAACGGGUUUGACGGUGAGGGACGAAGCCCUGGGGCGCAAACCGGAUUAGAUACCCGGGUAGUCCAGGGUGUAAACGCUGCUCGCUUGAUGUUAGUCGGGCUCCGAGCCCGACUAGUGUCGGAGAGAAGUUGUUAAGCGAGCUGCCUGGGAAGUACGGUCGCAAGGCUGAAACUUAAAGGAAUUGGCGGGGGAGCAC